rnacentral:misc_RNA from 1 species
UCAAACUUGGUCAUUUAGAGGAAGUAAAAGUCGUAACAAGGUUUCCGUAGGUGAACCUGCGGAAGGAUCAUUAUCAAUUGUCCAUCAUCAACCCCUGUGCACUGUUUGUUCUGGGUGGCGAUCCGUCUUUCGGGGGCAUUCCUUUUGGGUGUUCUCGCGGACUGUGUUUCUGGAACGUUUGUUUCAAAGCGCAUCCCCCCAAGCAUUCUAUCAAACCUGUUUUUAUUUUGAAUUCUCAUGCCAGAAUUCGGUUGUCUGAAACUAUAUUGCAAUUCAUUGAAUGAAAAAAUAUAACUUUUAACAACGGAUCUCUUGGCUCUCGCAUCGAUGAAGAACGCAGC